rnacentral:rRNA from 1 species
UACAGAGGGUGCAAGCGUUGUUCGGAAUUAUUGGGCGUAAAGGGCGCGUAGGCGGUGCCACAAGUCACCUGUGAAAUCUCCUGGCUCAACUGGGAGGGUGCGCCGGAAACUGGAGUGCUUGAGCGUGGGAGAGGAAAGCGGAAUUCCUGGUGUAGCGGUGAAAUGCGUAGAUAUCAGGAGGAACACCUGUGGUGUAGACGGCUUUCUGGACCAUAGCUGACGCUGAGACACGAAAGCGUGGGUAGCAAACAGG